rnacentral:rRNA from 1 species
UGGGCAAUCCGCAGCGAAGUCCCUAUUAUAGGGAGCGCGUUCAGAGACUAGAUGUUUGUGGGUCGCCGAGUCGUCGGUGGCUUAAGGUAUAGUCCGUCCCGUCCCGAAAGGGUCUGGGGUUCAAAUGUAGAUGUUCUGGGCCGCACGCGCGCUACACUGACAGAGCCAGCGAGUUUAUCACCUUGGCCGGAAGGUCCGGGUAAUCUUGUGAAACUCU